ensembl:ncRNA lncRNA:CR46079 long non-coding RNA:CR46079
ACUUUUUCCGCUGCUGUGCCACUCGUUCCUGAAACAGUUCACGUCCUUGGCGCCGGGUAAUGGAGGAGCCCAGUCGAGUGGUCGCCUCCUUUUUGGCGUUAAUGAAAAAUGCAUGAAAUUUAAAUUGCGCCAAAGUGUUGACCAGUGGCUGGACCCACACCUUUGCCUCCACUGAAAUCCGCUUUGCUCGGAUGCGAUGUGGGCAUGAGCAAUUUGUUACACCGUGCAACAAGCGAAUGGUCCGUAGACACUUUUAUUACGCGGCGCCAACAAAACAAGCGGCAGGAGGAAAGGUGGAAGGUGGCAAAAUCGACAGACAAAAAGCGACAAAUGCGAUGACAAACAAUACGAACAACAACAAUGACGCCGCUGUCAAUUGUCUGAAUUUUGAAAACCGAAAGCAAGAAAAUAAAGGGAACGAAACGAAAACACUGAAAAUCGUAGACUGUGGAAAAACUGAACCUCAUUUUCUAUGCUACUGCCGCUGCCAAAUGUCAAAUGUCGAAUUGAGCAAUGAAAUGUGAACUUUUCAUUUGCCGCCACCAACAGGAAACAAAACGGAGCACAAAAGAAAUUGCAGUGUAAAAAAAAAAUGGACAGUCAAAAAUGUUACCAAUCAAAUGAAAUGUAAUCAAACGGAAUGAACAGGACAGCGGGGAGACAUCAAAUCAAGCAACGAUUUUUAUGUUUCACUCCAUGACAAGUCUGCUAUUUUUAGGACAAAGAUACACAUUAAUGAUUUUACGUACAGACAUUUAAAUAUACCACUAAUUUUACCAAAUAGAUGCC